UACGGGGGGGGCAAGCGUUGUUCGGAAUUACUGGGCGUAAAGAGCUCGUAGGUGGCCAACUAAGUCAGACGUGAAAUCCCCCGGCUUAACCGGGGAACUGCGUCUGAUACUGGAUGGCUAGAGUGUGGGAGAGGGAUGCGGAAUUCCAGGUGUAGCGGUGAAAUGCGUAGAUAUCUGGAGGAACACCGGUGGCGAAGGCGGCAUCCUGGACCAUGACUGACACUGAAAAGCGAAAGCCAGGGGAGCAAGCGGG
rnacentral:rRNA from 1 species